UAGAAAUACUGGUUAGAUCCCCACCUGGCCAAACUGCUGCAGAACAGCGUCGGUUUUCUCUCUGUGAGUCGAUCGCUCCAACAAGUCGAGGGGAAGAACGAGAAUAUCCUUCUCUUCUAAAGAGGACAGCUCUGAGGCUCGUUCUCUCGUCGUGCAGACAGCACGAGUCGAGCUCCGACAGCAGCCAGCUGAUAGGCCAGCUCCUCGCCGAUCCCACUGGAUGCUCCAGUGAUCCAUACCACCUUCUGCUUUAGAGCCAUGCCUACAUCACACACACAGAGACCGAGACAAUCAGAGGGAUAUACAGAUGAGUAAAUGGAUGGAGAUAUAACAAGUCAGGUGUUCUUCAUUGUGUAAAGAAAUUCACCAGCAGUUGUUGCUAAACUCCACACACUGCAGUGUGAUUUCCAGCUCAACAGGACGGAUGUGAAGGUGUUUUGCAACACACAGGAGCAUGCAGUGAGGAGAACGUAUUAACACCCAGGAUUCAUUAUUAAUCCAACUCUGCUCUCCAGCCUGUUUUAUAUUAGGUUUUUGUUCAGUCACUUUUUAGCCCUCCACUGCUCUGGUGUAGAAGUGUUUAAUUCCAUCUAAUAGGUACACAUGAAAUGAUGAUGAAAGCUGAGAGUGGUGGUGAGUGUGAUGAUUAAUGGAGUGGGGUAUGAAAGUGAUGGUUAAUGGAGUGGGGUAUGAAAGUGAUGGUUAAUAGAGUGGGGUAUGAGAGUGGUGGUAAGUGUGAUGGUUAAUGCAGUGUGGUGGUGGCAAUGAGUGGGGUAUGUGAGUAAGUGGUGGUGAUGAGUGGGGUGAGUGAUGAGUGGGGUAUGUGAGUGAGUGGUGGUGAUAAGUGG